AUCCACCCACCUUUGUCCAGUUUUAAACCUUUUGAAUCAUAGCUUGGAUAUGCUAGUUAGGGACUUAUUUCUGCCUAGCAGUUCAAACUGACAGUGAGGAUAUACCUUCAUGGAGCAAACUUCAGGCUUCCACCUUUGCUGAAUGGGCUGAGCACAUAUGGUCCCCAGACCUACAGGAUCACUGAGAGGGAUGUUCCCAGCUGCUCUGUGGCACACGGGAGGCAGCUCCUGGACUGUGGGUGCAGAGCAGACAAGCAGAGUGGAGGAUGGAGGAACUGCAGGAGGAAAAAAUACCAUUCUCGGGUCAAAUGCAUACACACGGUGUGGGGGCUGAGGGCUUGCACAUCCAGGAUAAGUUCCUCCUCACUUUUUUUGCAUGCUUGAAUUUUUGCAGUUCCUUAUUCAACUUCAGCUCACUUUUUUCACUCUGUAUACUAUUGGAUCCCUUAAAGACCCCCACUAAACCAGGAGCUACAUUUUACUGGGUGCUGCUAAAAUGGUCUUCCAUGCCUCAGUGAGCUUGCAGGAUAAGUAGACAAAACAAGGAAGGUGGCCAUGUCAGAACUGCAACUGGAAUGUGGCUGUUGCUGGCUCCUGCUGGAGUGAUUAAAUGGGAACAGGGCCACAUAGCUCCUCCCUCCCUUAAAAAACAAAAACUGUGGGCACUUGUACAGAAAACAACCCCUGCCUCUGUUUGUCCUCGUCUUGCUGUAGUUUUCUUCUUUGAAAUCAGAGUUUGUUUUUUGGGGUUUUUUUUCAGUGUCAUAAUAAAUUAAUAUAGGGGUGAGGUUCAAAAUGGAGUCAUCUUUAUUGAAACGAGGAGUCGGCAAAUGUCGCGUCUACCUGGAAAUCUCUUUAGGCAGUGGUGUAAAUAAAAAGCAACUUUUAACUGCAAUAGAACAGAAUGACUGGUUGCUAAAAAGAGCUGGUUUAAGGUUUUCAUUAAUUGACAGCUAUGAUUUAUCCUAUUCUUUACCAUUUUGAGGCAGUUUGUAAUCAAGUACAGAACCACUGGACAUUAAGAUUUCAGAGGGAAGCCUGGAAGAACAUCUGUCUUCGUCACAAUGUCUGUUAAUUUUUAAUCGCCUCGGGAUAAUUUUAAAACAGGCUGCAGGUUUCUGGAACAUUCACAUAGGCAAGUCCUUCAGUUUGCUGGCUGUUGAGGGUUAGAAAACCCUGCAGUUCACAGGACAGUGAGACCAACAAGCUGGAUGAGAAAGUAAAUGCUGUUGACACCUACUCAGACACAGUCUUCAAUGAGUAAAAACAUUAAAUAAAUAGAAUCUGAAGUUCCCAGAGGGACAUGCUGGUGGAGUGUUUCAGAGACUCUCCUACGAGUUCAGCUUGACUGGAAAUGUUUAAUAUCAAAAAAAAAAAUUUUUCAAAGGAUUUUUUUUCUCUCUUGAAAAUAUUAAAUUCAAGGAGUGUGACUCCAAGGUGGACGAAGGAAGUAAAUGGAAAACUGGUGGCAGGAGCUGGGUUUUUGCAUUCAGCAAAAUGGCAUUUUCUGAUCUCUGUGCAACAUGAUAUCCUGUAAGCACUACACUUGGUUUGCUCCAAAAUUUCAGGGAAGGUUUCAGAGCCAUUUUAACUAGGGAGAUCCUCAGUGGGUAGUGCUCGUUGCAGGCUGAUGUGGAAGGUUGGCAACCGUAAGGGGGAAAUAAAACCUGUGCCUGCAUCCUUGUGUCCUAUCACCUUGGGCCACCUGCACAGGAGUUCAAGGGAGCUUCAACCAUUUUACUUUGCCCCCAGGAUGGGGGCACGGGUCCUGCCUGGGUCCCCUGAGCAAUACUCCCAGAUAAAUAUUUGUCACUGGCAAAUUUCCAACAUGAUGAAACUUAGUCAGGUCAGCUCUGCCUCUGUCCCAGGGUGACCAGAAAAGCUGGCACAAGUGACUGGGCUCCUGAGAAGGAAGGUGAAUUGGCAGUGACCUUGGUGGUGGGGUGAUGUGGGGUCAGCCUCAGCUGCAGGCUGGGUGGGAGUAGAAUGAUGGGCAGCUUCUCUCCUCCAAAACCUCUGGGAUGCCAAAGACUGUGCACCUCCGAUGCCAGCAUGUGCCCGGGCGGCAUUCUCAUCACGGCUAGGUCAAGUCGCAGCCUUCCCACCACAGCCCUCUGGAGGUCUUUCACUGCUCCCUGCAGCCCUGGGCUGUCACUGUGGUGCUCUUGGAGGGCCACUGCCUGCACUUCCCAAAUACUCCUGCUUGCCUUCACGUUGCAAGAGGAGGGAGUCCAGCUACCCACUUGAGGAACGGCAAAUUUACCUGCAGAGGAAUGACCACAGGUGCCCAAAUCCCUCACUGGGGUCUGCCAGGACAGUCUACCUGUGGGGUGUGGAAGGCUUGCUCCCACUGUAGGGGAAAACAGCAGCUCAACCCUACCCCAAAUAAUCACAACUUGACACAUGCAAGUUUUACAUAAUCUGAUAGCAAUUAAAGCUGCUAAAAAUUGGUCUAAACAGGAUACAUUUUUCCUCUGAAUGUUUUGGCAGGAAAGAUUUUUGAGCAACAAAUGAAAAUGACAUAAAUAGAAAGGCAGUCCCCUGGAAAGACAAAUCCAAAGUCUUCUGCUGUCUCUGCUCAAACUGACUAGCACUUUGGUGUAAUAAUCUUCCUGUUGAGAUCAAUGAGGCUGUUAAAUAAAUGAAGCAUUCAAGUGUAGAAGAAAAUAAGGGAAGAGAAAUGGCAUCAUAUUGAAAGACUAAAAUUCAAGCCUCCUUGAGCCCCAAGGAAAGGGUAAAUCCAUUAAGUUGUGAAGAAAUAAGAGCUGGAAAGAGUCUGUCAGAUCCAUUCUAAAACUUAUGAUAAAAUAAAACUUUCUUAGGGGGCAGAAAGCAAACUGAAAGAAAUGGCCAUAUGGCAGGAGGGUACGGCUCUCCUAGUAUGCUAAUUGUUACGUACUUGGCGCAUCUGCAAGUGUCUCUGUUGAAAUGUUUGACAGACUGGCAAUUCCUUCUUCCAAAAUAAAAAUGAGUUGGUUUAGUUCUACUUUACUGCUAUGUCUUUGGAGAUGGCUGGUGUUUGGUCCAGUCCCUCAGGGAAAAAAAAAAAAAAGAAGGAAAUAGGUCAAAAACACACCAAAAAGAAUUAACAAGAUUUUGGGUCUCUAUCUAUGUAGGAAUGUGUGUGUGUACAUAUGUGUAUGUAUGCGCAUAUAUGUUUAACUUUGCCCCGUGGGGAUGUAAUUCCAACUAGAUAUAACAGGACACUUUUUAAAAAGAGACUGGAUGUGGCACUCAGUGCCAUGGUCUGGUAACCGCAGCGGUAGUGGAUCAAGGGUUGGUCUUGAUGAUCUCGGAGGUCCCUUCCAAGCCAGCUGAUUCUAUGAUUCUAUGAUUCUAUGAUAAUAUACACUCUCCAACUAGAGCAGUAGAAGAGAAUACAUAGCAGAAUUAUUCUGCUGGCUGAUUUUGGAAAUGUUGUAGUGGUCUCCAUGAUGCCAGUGUGACUGUGUUCCUAUGGGAACAGGCUGCCUCAAAGCAAAAGGGUUCUGUAGCAAGAGCAAAUGAGUCCUGGCUAAAAACUUGGUGUUUAGCAAAAAACUACAUAUUCUGUAAAUAUCAAGUAUUCUGCAAUAUUCGGAUUAAAUUCACUCACUUUCAAAACUAAUUGAAAGAGUUCUUUUCUACUCUGCCAAUGAGGCAAGAUGCAAUCAGUUACAUUCAAACCAUCAUUAGGACUAAUUAGGACAUCCCAGGUACUAAAAGCUUGUUCACAUCCUCCUUGCAACCACAGUGUUACUUCUCAGAGCUGCACUCUGAUGAUGCUGCCCCUUUUGAAAAGCACCAUACUGCAGGAGUAAUCCCAUAGGCUUUAAUGGGACUACUGAUUAAAGUACUACUAAGUACUACUUAUUAAAGCACUGUUCUGUGUGAGGGAGCAUUCUGGAGUCUGACUUUAUGUUAAUGUUUGCCUUAAAUGCAGAUGUCUUCUGAAGAAGUGUGUUGUAUACUUGAAGAGUUUUAUGUUGCCUUAAUGUUGACUUGCAGCAGGAGCAAUGCUUAUAGAAAACUCCAAAGCUCUCUUGAAUAUGAUAAACACAUCACACAGCGGACAGCACAUCCACUGGAUGUGGGACAUGGCAACACUUCGUCUUGUGCUGGAGCACGGGUUCUUCUUCAGGACAGACUGCCAGAGGAACAUGUUCUGUUCCCUCACUCCUCCUGACCAGGACUGAUAGAGCUGUUUUUCCAGUGAAUUUCCAGCUAGACUAUUAAAAUAAACUACUCCCUGAAAGCUUUUGCCUUGAA